UACGAAGGGGGCUAGCGUUGUUCGGAUUUACUGGGCGUAAAGCGCACGUAGGCGGAUCGAUCAGUCAGGGGGUGAAAUCCCAGAGCUCAACUCUGGAACUGCCUUUGAUACUGUCGAUCUGGAGUAUGGAAGAGUGAGUGGAAUUCCGAGUGUAGAGGUGAAAUUCGUAGAUAUUCGGAGGAACACCAGUGGCGAAGGCGG
rnacentral:rRNA from 1 species